rnacentral:rRNA from 1 species
GAUGAACGCUGGCGGCGUGCCUAAUACAUGCCAGUCGAGCGAACAGACGAGGAGCUUGCUCCUCUGACGUUAGCGGCGGACGGGUGAGUAACACGUGGAUAACCUACCUAUAAGACUGGGAUAACUUCGGGAAACCGGAGCUAAUACCGGAUAAUAUAUUGAACCGCAUGGUUCAAUAGUGAAAUACGGUUUUGCUGUCACUUAUAGAUGGAUCCGCGCCGCAUUAGCUAGUUGGUAAGGUAACGGCUUACCAAGGCAACGAUGCGUAGCCGACCUGAAAGGGUGAACGGCCACACUGGAACUGAGACACGGCCCAGACUCCUACGGGAAGAAGCAGUAGGGAAUCUUACGCAAUGGACGAAAGCCUGACGGAGCAACGCCGCGUGAGUGAUGAAGGUCUUCGGAUCGUAAAACUCUGUUAUUAGGGAAGAACAAAUGUGUAAGUAACUAUGAACGUCUUGACGGUACCUAAUCAGAAAGCCACGGCUAACUACGUG